UACGUAGGGUGCGAGCGUUGUCCGGAAUUAUUGGGCGUAAAGAGCUCGUAGGCGGCUUGUCGCGUCGUCCGUGAAAACCUGCGGCUCAACUGCAGGCUGGCGGUCGAUACGGGCAGGCUGGAGUUCGGUAGGGGAGACUGGAAUUCCUGGUGUAGCGGUGAAAUGCGUAGAUAUGUGGAGGAACACCGAUGGCGAAGGCAGCCCCCUGGGAUGUGACUGACGCUCAUGUACGAAAGCGUGGGGAGCAAACAGG
rnacentral:rRNA from 1 species